rnacentral:lncRNA from 1 species
UGGGAGUCCUCCACCCUGUAGCAAAGGAGAAGCAUCUGAGGGCACAAGCAGGGCAUGGCAGCAGUGGGGCAGAAGUGCAGCUAAUAGGUGGACAGGUUUGCAACCCUAUGACUCUUUUCAUACUCUCAGCAGUGGCUCACAAAGCCUUAAAGCCACAGUCAGUGUGUGCUGUUUUCCUAUUGCUUAGCCAGCAGUCUUUUCCCUUAUUCCACCCUCCAUAUCCUCCCACUGCCUGAGACUGAAAACUGCUAGGCAAGGACUCUCAAAAUAGGUCAUGUGCCCUCCCGCAAUGUCCUCGGUGUGGCUAGGAAGCCAUGGAUGUGCAGCAAGGUGGAUGAAAGCAAGGCAGGGAUGAGGUGCAGGCAGCACACACAGGAGACAAGGUAGUUUGGGUUGCUAGAAGCCACUGACCUGAGCUGACAUGUUUAGCAGGGACACCAAAAUAACAACAAAGAGCAAUAGAGAGAGAGGCUGAGAGGGGGCUUCGUGGCUCCAAGGUUCUCAGCCUUGGACUUUGUGCUCCAGCUCUGUCUGCUCUCUGUCUCCUGGCUGGAUCUUCCCAGUGUUGCUCCAUGUCCUGGCGCUGACACCCUACCUUCUCCCAGCUCCGAGUCCUGCUCUGACCCUGCCUGUCAGCAGCCACUUCCCCUUCCAAGCCUGCUCUCCUGGGAGAUGGGCCUUACUGUUUUGGGAACUAGCUUUGGGAAGCUGGAUUUCUCAGCGGCGAGCACCAUUACUCAAACUGGUCGCGGGCAAAAUCUGGCUUCUGCUGUCUGGAUGAGAACGCUUUCUGGUCACAGUGAAUUUGCCUGUGCGGCUGGAAUCCAGAUGUGCAAAUUUAUCAUCUACUUAACAGCAUGGAAAUUCAAGAUAAGUGCAACAGCAGUCUCCUCCUUGUCCGUACCAGGGGUCCCUCCUUUCAGCGUACCAACAAAGAUCUUGCAUAUUAUCAUGAAUCACUACUGAACAGCAGACUUGUGUAAGUCUUUGGGCAGAGCGUCCAAAUUACACUGGACUUCAGUUUAUGCUACAGCGGCAUGUGUUGCAUAUCACAAUGUAACAAAGACAUGUGAAAAGCCAGAGACACCAGACUCACAUGAACUGAAAACAAACAAAAGGGAGACGCAUCAAAACAGCGGAGAACAAUUCCUUAUUCUGUUUGACUCCUACCUGAACCUGCAGCAGUGCUUUCUGCACCGUCUCCUGUUUACUUACAACUUGCUAAUAAUGUACAGCAACAUGCUUACGGUGCUUUUCUCUGUACAUUCUGAUUAUGUAACUGCACUGAUGACAUAACCGUACGGCUGAUAAAUGUAGGAUUUGUCUAAGGACCAACACGGGGCAGCUACCGCCGGGCUGCGACCGCGGCUCCCUGCGAGCCGCCUGGGGCC